CCUACGGGAGGCAGCAGUAAGGAAUAUUGGACAAUGGACGCAAGUCUGAUCCAGCCAUGCCGCGUGAAGGAUUAAGGCCCUCUGGGUUGUAAACUUCUUUUAUAGGGGACGAAAAAAGGGCUUUCUAGCUCGACUGACGGUACCCUAUGAAUAAGCACCGGCUAACUCCGUGCCAGCAGCCGCGGUAAUACGGAGGGUGCAAGCGUUAUCCGGAUUCACUGGGUUUAAAGGGUGCGUAGGCGGGCAUUUAAGUCAGUGGUGAAAUCUUCGAGCUCAACUCGGAAACUGCCAUUGAUACUAUUUGUCUUGAAUAUUGUGGAGGUGAGCGGAAUAUGUCAUGUAGCGGUGAAAUGCUUAGAUAUGACAUAGAACACCGAUUGCGAAGGCAGCUCGCUACACAAAUAUUGACGCUGAGGCACGAAAGCGUGGGGAUCAAACAGGAUUAGAUACCCUGGUAGUCCACGCCCUAAACUAUGGAUACUCGACAUUUGCGAUACACAGUAAGUGUCUGAGCGAAAGCAUUAAGUAUCCCACCUGGGAAGUACGACCGCAAGGUUGAAACUCAAAUGAAAUUGACGGCUGAGACGAGCGAGGACGACGACGAGGGGAGGAGG
rnacentral:rRNA from 1 species